AAGACGCCGGUAGAGCAGCCCGCGGCCGAUUAGCUAGUUGGUGGGGUAAUGGCUCACCAAGGCUGCGAUCGGUAGCCGGCCUGAGAGGGCACACGGCCACACUGGCACUGAGACACGGGCCAGACUCCUACGGGAGGCAGCAGUGGGGAAUCUUGCACAAUGGGGGAAACCCUGAUGCAGCGACGCCGCGUGAGCGAUGAAGCCCUUCGGGGUGUAAAGCUCUUUCGGCAGGGACGAUAAUGACGGUACCUGAAGAAGAAGCUGCGGCUAACUACGUGCCAGCAGCCGCGGUAAUACGUAGGCAGCAAGCGUUGUUCGGAGUUACUGGGCGUAAAGAGAGCGUAGGCGGUUUGCCAAGUCUGGUGUGAAAUCUCCCGGCUUAACUGGGAGGGUGCGCUAGAAACUGGCAGGCUUGAGUGUGGGAGAGGGAAGCGGAAUUCCUGGUGUAGCGGUGAAAUGCGUAGAUAUCAGGAGGAACACCUGCGGUGAAGACGGCUUCCUGGACCACUACUGACGCUGAGGCUCGAAAGCGUGGGGAGCAAACAGGAUUAGAU
rnacentral:rRNA from 1 species